ACGGGAGGCAGCAGUGGGGAAUAUUGCACAAUGGGGGAAACCCUGAUGCAGCGACGCCGCGUGAGUGAAAAAGUAUUUCGGUAUGUAAAGCUCUAUCAGCAGGGUAGAAAAUGACGGUACCUGACUAAGAAGCCCCGGCUAACUACGUGCCAGCAGCCGCGGUAAUACGUAGGGGGCAAGCGUUAUCCGGAUUUACUGGGUGUAAAGGGAGCGCAGACGGCUUUGCAAGUCUGAUGUGAAAGGCAGGGGCUCAACUCCUGGACUGCAUUGGAAACUGUAGGGCUAGAGUGUCGGAGAGGUAAGCGGAAUUCCUAGUGUAGCGGUGAAAUGCGUAGAUAUUAGGAGGAACACCAGUGGCGAAGGCGGCUUACUGGACUGUAACUGACGUUGAGGCUCGAAAGCGUGGGGAGCAAACAGGAUUAGAUACCCUGGUA
rnacentral:rRNA from 1 species